rnacentral:rRNA from 1 species
CAGUAGGGUGCCAUCAAGAGGUGU